UUAUGCCACAAACGCAUGGCAACGACCAGAUGAGCAGUUAAGACAAUAAAAAGAUAACACAACACUAUGUUUCCAUUUAAGAAAAAAAGUGUACUAAUAUGGAUUCAUGAUGGCUGAAAGUUAAGA